AAUCUUCACCAGCUGAGAUGGUUAGGACAUGUGUUACAUAUGCCUGACCACCGUCUACUUUGAAGAGCAA
rnacentral:pre_miRNA from 1 species